GGUGCAGUGAUGGCAAUAGAGACCGCUCCACCUAUCGCUCAUUCUGUGAUUUUAGUUGCUGCAGCCCCAUUACUUGCGAACUAAGGGUUCUUAAACCUUCUAAACUCUAUGGUCUUAAGCUUGCAACUGAAUUCAUUAGAUCUAGAUUUAAUUUGGUUUCCUUAUAAUGUUUGAACCGCGCUAGAUGUUCCUUUCAUUCUUCCUCUUUUUCUGUCCUUUUCUCUUUGCAGCAUUAUGUUACUGUUAUGUGUCUCCCCUUUUACCUAUAACAUUUCUAAAUUGUUUCAAAAAAAGAACUAUGAAGGAACAACAAAAAGCAAGGCAACAAAUCAGCUUUCCACAAGCAGGGAAGGUACUGGCCAGGAUGAAACUUUAGAUCAUGUUUCUGAUUUAGAUGACACAAGGAAGAAAAACAUCUCAUUAGAAGGUGAUUCAUCACUUCAUAUUGGAACCAAAAGGCACCAAGAUGGCACCAAAAGGAACAACUUUGGAUUUAUUAAUUUGACUUACCUGUUUACAAUAAACAUAUGAUUACUUCUAUUCAUAUCUGCACAGAACAUUACAAUGCCCUUUUGUACUAAUUCUAUAAGUACAAGGCAAAAGGGAAAUAAGAAGAUCAUCAUAUCUACAUUCUGUUAUAAAAAUGUGCACCAAAGCAUCAUUGGAGAAUCUGGAAUCCAGUCAUCACUAUAUUUGAAACCUACUUCUUGAAGUCAACCUGCAUUUCUAGAACCGAACCUGGCAGGCCUCAUCUUCUGAAAGUCAAGGCGUUAUCUAUUUAAUUGUGGUUACAUUUGAUAUGAAAUUAAACUCUGCUUCUGCAAGUCAAAGACUUCCUUUCCAAUGUUGACUAUUAUAAUAAUAAAGGAUGGCAACCAAGAUGACAAUUCCUUUCCGAUGUUCUUAUUCUCAUUUUGAUUUUCUUUUUCUUCUGUUUUGCUUCAUCUUUUAUUUGUUCUUUUAGUUACUCCUUGAUAAAAGACUUCCUUAAAUUUAAAUGUAGAACUCUGCUUCUGCAAGUCAUAUAGUUUUUGGCAGGAAUGACACACACACUUCCAGAAGUAGGAAUGGCAGUACUCUUCUGCUUGAGUUCUUAACUGCUUUCUCGCUUAGUAUUUCCAAACAAAAUCUCAGCUAACAAUGUAUAGAAAGGCUUUUAUGUGAAAUGCAUAGGGAGGUAUGCCAUGAA